rnacentral:tmRNA from 1 species
GGGGCUGUCAUGGUUUCGACAGGUGAUCGUUUGAAAUGAACUGCAGUGGAUUGGUGACCUAAUUACCAAACAAAAAUAACUGGAAACAGUAACUACGCAUUUGCUGCUUAAUUAACGCUUAAAUAGCUUGCAGCAACUAUCUCCUAAGACGCUGUCCUUGUGGCUUAGUGAGAUUGAUAUAACCAAAUAAGGAAUAAGCUUUGGUUAGCCCGAAAUCAGAGACGAAAACCUAAGGGCAUAUCGCGAUGAAUCUUUGUUUGUUUCUAUACUUGCGAUGUAUUGAAGAAAUUAACUAAACUGUAGACGUUUAUUUGUGGGACAUUGCUUGGACGCGGGUUCAACUCCCGUCAGCUCCACCA